UACACCCUCACCCCUCCCAACUUGUUGGGUGUGCUUGCUGCUUUUGCAAGCCACUGGGGUGGAUCUGGCUUCCCCAAUCCACCAUUAUAGGUAGAUUGGGUUGGCUGAAGUGCAGAGGUGUAAGCAAGGACCCAAUAUGGGCUUCAACUGGAUAGGUAGCCCCGGCUUUUGCCGACUACACGAAGUUGUUGCUUGUGGAUCUUGCUAGAAGCCAAGCAAGAACGUGCCUCCGGCACGUCUAAAC
rnacentral:misc_RNA from 1 species